GUGGGGAAUAUUGGACAAUGGGCGCAAGCCUGAUCCAGCCAUGCCGCGUGAGUGAUGAAGGCCUUAGGGUUGUAAAGCUCUUUCGCUAGGGAAGAUAAUGACGGUACCUAGAUAAGAAGCCCCGGCUAACUUCGUGCCAGCAGCCGCGGUAAUACGAAGGGGGCUAGCGUUGUUCGGAAUUACUGGGCGUAAAGCGCACGUAGGCGGACUUGUCAGUCAGGGGUGAAAUCCCGAGGCUUAACCUCGGAACUGCCUUUGAUACUGCAAGUCUUGAGGAUGAGAGAGGUGAGUGGAACUGCGAGUGUAGAGGUGAAAUUCGUAGAUAUUCGCAAGAACACCAGUGGCGAAGGCGGCUCACUGGCUCAUUUCUGACGCUGAGGUGCGAAAGCGUGGGGAGCAA
rnacentral:rRNA from 1 species